rnacentral:rRNA from 1 species
GGGCCCGCACAAGCAGCGGAGCAUGUGGUUUAAUUCGAAGCAACGCGAAAAACCUUACCAGAACUUGACAUCCCGAUGAACAAUGUGGAGACAUAUUGGGCUUACGCAAGUAAGACAUUGGAGACAGGUGGUGCAUGGUUGUCGUCAGCUCGUGUCGUGAGAUGUUGGGUUAAGUCCCGCAACGAGCGCAACCCUUAUUGUUAGUUACCAGCGGGUCAUGCCGGGGACUCUAACGAGACUGCCGUGGAUAACACGGAGGAAGGUGGGGAUGACGUCAAAUCAUCAUGCCCCUUACGUUCUGGGCUACACACGUGCUACAAUGGUCUGUAACAAAGAGAAGCGAAGCCGCAAGGUGAAGCAAACCUCAAAAACCAGAUCUCAGUUCGGAUUGUGGGCUGCAACCCGCCCACAUGAAGUCGGAGUUGCUAGUAAUCGCGAAUCAGCAUGUCGCGGUGAAUGCGUUCCCGGGCCUU